rfam:Ipomoea nil DNA, scaffold: scaffold0861, cultivar: Tokyo-kokei standard.
GCCUUCUUAGCUCAGUGGUAGAGCGCGUGGCUUUUAACCACGUGGUCGCGGGUUCAAUCCCCACAGACGGUG